rnacentral:snRNA from 1 species
AUCGCUUCUCGGCCUUUUGGCUAAGAUCAAGUGUAGUAUCUGUUCUUAUCAGCUUAAUGUCUUAUGUGUCCUCUAUCAGGGGACAACAUAUUAAAUGGAUUUUUAGCAAUGGGAGUUGAAAAAGGGGCUUGCUCCAUUCACUCCCGCAUCGACCCGGUAUGCAGCGCCGCCGGGACGGUGCACCCUUC